UCAGUAUUUUCCUUUUUUUUAUUAGAAAUUGAUCACAUUGCAUACCAAGCAAAACAUAUGCCGUCCUUUCAAUGUGCCAUGCAUACAAAUUCAAAAAAAAAAAGUCGUGUCUUGGUUGACCAAUAUAUUAAAAUUGAUAUUUGUAAGGGUUGAUAUGAAAGACCUUUUUCCUGGAUUAUGUGCAAUUAACAAUAUUCACAUAUUUGUACAUUCAAAUCAGAGUCAGUCCGGAACAAAAAUCAUCCUCAUAAAAAAAACUAAAUGUUCAACUUAAAAUAGUAAAAAGGUUGAAAAAAAAAAAAAUGAAAAAACACAAAUGCUCUAAUCAAACAAAAUAGUUAUCUUUUUUUUUUUUAAAUAGAAUCAAAGACUUUCUCAACAAUAACAUGAGACUCAACUUAGGAUCUUGUCAUUGUUGUUCACUGUGUAUAGGCACAUGGUAGGUAUGUGAGGCAUUGCUGAGCUAACUUCUGAGAGACAGAUGAGGGAGAGGGAUAGACCGAGAGAGGUAGGGAGAGCUAGAGAGAGAGUGCAUUAGGGAGAGAGCUAGAGAGAGAGCGAGAGAGAGAGAGAAAGAGAGAGAGAGAGAGUGAGAGUGUAUCGGUCCAUCGCUUCACUUCCCAUCAAAAUGAGCCGUCUGAGCCAAGAUGGGUUCUCCUUCUUCAGGCUUUUUUUCUCCCCCUCUGCCUCUCCCCCUCGCCCUCUCCCCCUCCGUCUCCGCCUCCGUCUCCGCCUCUCGCUGCGCUCUUCUCUUCUCCUCUCCUCUCCUCUCCUCUCCUCUCCCCUGGCUCACUCAGGAGGGCAUGCUGAGCAGUUUGGUCGAUUUAUUCGGGUAAUUGAUUGCGAGGCUGAUGGCCUCAAUGUUCUUCAGUGCCUGCGUAAUACCAUGGCAGUGUGAUUGAGGAGCUGCUGGUCCGUGGUCAUGGCCAGCAGGUAUUCCUGGAGGAUGCCC
ensembl:lncRNA